UACGGAGGGUGCGAGCGUUGUUCGGAAUUAUUGGGCGUAAAGAGCGUGUAGGCGGCCAUGCAGGUCAGCUGUGAAAACUCGAGGCUCAACCUCGAGACGUCGGUUGAAACCGCAUGGCUAGAGUCCGGAAGAGGAGAGUGGAAUUCCCGGUGUAGCGGUGAAAUGCGCAGAUAUCGGGAAGAACACCCGUGGCGAAGGCGGCUCUCUGGGACGGUACUGACGCUGAGACGCGAAAGCGUGGGGAGCGAACAGG
rnacentral:rRNA from 1 species